AGCCCUUGCCUUUUCCAGCUAUAGGAUCUUAGUCCCUGCCUCCCCACCCCUUGGGAGUGGACCUUUGUGAUGUCUAAGCUCCCUGGGGCCACCAUUGGCUGUGGUGAGUGCCCUGCUGACCAAACAAAGCUGAGAGGGCGUGAACCCUCAUUGUCCCCGGAGAGGUAUAUAUACAGAGGACGGGACUCCUGGAGUAGACACCAGAGAAGCUGCAACAUGGCGAAAGUGGUAGAGAAAUCAUGGGAGUCACAAACCACAAACACCAAGCGGUGGAGGAAGAGGAAGAACCAGUCUCGAUCCAGAUCAAGAGGCGCUAGCAAGGUGCUAAAGAUCUACAAGAAGGUAAAAAGAUCAUUUCACAUGAGUUCAAGAAAAAAAUACUCUCCUAAAGUUAUGACCACUUCCAGAAGAAAGAAGAGGGCGAGAAGGGCCAACAAGUUUCAGCCGUUGCCGUAGGCUGAGAGCCAAAAGCAGCCAGGCCAGACCCAGCAGACGCUAUGGAGCAACACCACUCCAAGACCAUGCAAACAGCCCCUACCGAGCGAGCUUCUGAGACCUCAGACAGUCUGCAUUUAGGAUCCUGGCUGCGGGGAAAUGGCCAGCUGCAGAGAGACCUACUCGGAUCCUAAUGUGGAACACAGAACACAAAUGGGAGGUGAUCAAAAUAAAAUCAACAGGGUGGGAGAAGCUCCUCCAAAAAAUAAAAUUAGGCGCUCUGCACAGCAA